AUGUUGUUGACUCAGAUCAAAGUUUUAUGGGUUGUCCUGUGUCUCGUUGGCUUCAGGGAGCCCUGGAAAACCUCAGAUGUUUCAGCUGUUCUGCACGAAGGACUCGCACAUCAAGGGUUUAUCAGAUCUGUGAGUGAUUCUAACCUGAUGUUUGAGUUCUUAUGGAGAGGACUGGAGAUUGAUGUCGACAAUAACGUUGUCAUGCAGGAUCAAGAAAUUGCAUCUAUGCGACAAGGGCGAGCUUUCUUAUCUCUCAUAAACGACAGUAUCCCAAAGACUGUGUCUGCAAUGGAGAAGUUUCUGGCUAUGCUGGAAGAGCAAGACAAGUCUUUCACUCAGGCCCGUUUUGAGACCCUCCUCCUCGGGACUAUCUAUUCAGCCUACCAGGCACGAAAUCAGAGGCUGGAGUCAGAGCAGCAGGCCUGGAUGGAUAUUCUUGGUCGUUUUGCAAAUAAUACUUUUGUUCAGCUACGCAAGUCUUAA
ensembl:lncRNA